rnacentral:misc_RNA from 1 species
GUGAAUCAUCGAAUCUUUGAACGCAAAUUGCACUCUCUGGUAUUCCGGAGAGUAUGCCUGUUCGAGGGUCAGUUUAAAUAAAAAUCGGUGUGGUUGCUGCCUUUCGUGGUGACGCACCGGAUUUGAUUCGUCUUGCCUUCGGUUAAUUGACCUAAAAUUUUGCAUGUUUUUUUCGAACGUAUUUAAUUGAUUUUACGUACGUUGGCUAUCACGAAUACUAGGUGCCGGACUC